UUAAAUUGAAGAGUUUGAUCAUGGCUCAGAUUGAACGCUGGCGGCAGGCCUAACACAUGCAAGUCGAGCGGAAACGAGUUAUCAGAACCUUCGGGGGACGAUAACGGCGUCGAGCGGCGGACGGGUGAGUAAUGCCUAGGAAAUUGCCCUGAUG
rnacentral:rRNA from 1 species